rnacentral:rRNA from 1 species
CCUACGGGAGGCAGCAGUGGGGAAUAUUGGACAAUGGGGGGAACCCUGAUCCAGCCAUGCCGCGUGUGUGAAGAAGGCCCUCGGGUUGGAAAGCACUUUCAGUGAGGAAGAACGCCUGGUGGUUAAUACCCAUCAGGAAAGACAUCACUCACAGAAGAAGCACCGGCUAACUCCGUGCCAGCAGCCGCGGUAAUACGGAGGGUGCGAGCGUUAAUCGGAAUUACUGGGCGUAAAGCGCGCGUAGGUGGCUUGAUAAGCCGGUUGUGAAAGCCCCGGGCUCAACCUGGGAACGGCAUCCGGAACUGUCAAGCUAGAGUGCAGGAGAGGAAGGUAGAAUUCCCGGUGUAGCGGUGAAAUGCGUAGAGAUCGGGAGGAAUACCAGUGGCGAAGGCGGCCUUCUGGACUGACACUGACACUGAGGUGCGAAAGCGUGGGUAGCAAACAGGAUUAGAUACCCCUGUAGUC